GUCCACGCCUAACGAUGUCAACUGGUUGUUGGAAGGGUUCCCUUCAGUAACGAAGCUAACGCGUGAAGUUGACCGCCUGGGGAGUACGGCCGCAAGGUUGAAACUCAAAGGAAUUGACGGGACCCGCACAAGCGGUGGAUGAUGUGGUUUAAUUCGAUGCAACGCGAAACCUUACCUACCCUUGACAUGCCAGAAAUCCCACAGAGAUGUGGGAGUGCUCGAAAGAGAAUCUGGGCACAGGUGCUGCAUGGCCGUCGU
rnacentral:rRNA from 1 species